GAAUACGCCAAGAAAUCCAGGUCGAUCAUUCUUUGGGUGUUCCAAGUACAAUUCUCAGGGGUUACCACACUGCAACUAUUUCAAAUGGGCAGAUAGCGAUAGCUGCCAUGAAAGGGAAAAAGAACUUGUUAAAUUAAAAAUUGAGAUGUUAAGAAAGGAGGAAGAGCUUCACCUUGCACAAGCAAAGGCUUAACAAAUAGCCAAAGAGGUUCGAAGAAGAGAGAAAGAGGUUCAAAGAAGAGAGAAAGAUGUUCGAAGAAGAGAUGAAGAGGUUCGAAGUUGGAUGGUAGAGGUUCGAAAAGUCUUGGAAGAGGUUCAAAAAAGAGAUGGGGAAAUUGUCAAGAGUGACUUGGGAGUCCAGCGUCAAUGCACAAAUAUAAAACUGUGGUGUAUAAUUUGUAUAUUACUUUAUUUGUACUUCUCACGAUCGCAGUGAAUACCCACUGAUCGUUGUAACCUGUGUAUAAAACUAAACACUUGUGUUUUUCUGCUUUAGACUAGUAGUUAUGGAAAUGUGUAUAAUAUUUUUUGAACAAAUCCAUAGUCUGAAUUGUGGAACACGUUGGUCAGUUAUGGAAACUGCAUCUAACUUGUGUUUUUCAGUUUUA